rnacentral:other from 1 species
UGUUCCCUGUGAUGUUGGCGUACAAGUUACGUCCCUGAGCCGAUAAACUUUUUACCAGGAAUUCAGUUUAAUUUUCUAUUGAGCAAGCUUGGCAUGUACCGAGAAGCCUACGGAAAAUAUCUGAGCUCCGACCUGAGCCAUUGGGUUCAGGACCAAUACUUGAAACCGCAUCUUGGGGAACAC